rnacentral:lncRNA from 1 species
GCUUUUUAUCUGAGAUAUCGGAAUGUUAACAACAACAACAACAAAACCAAAGGUAGUGAUCAUUCUAAAAUGCAAAACAAUGAACACACUCAAGUUGAUUUUGGAUUUGACCAUACACGUUUCUCAGAAGAGGGAGCUUUCCUGUGAGUUACCCAUGAUAGAAGAACUGGCAGAUAAGAAUUCUUGGCAGUGAGAAUGCACAAAAGGAAUGAAGCAAAGUUAACUGGGGUUACAGGUCAGGGAGCAUGCAAGAACACGGGUAGAGUUGUGAUCAAAGGAACAAGUGGCUUAUGACAGAACUUCUUUACUAAAGACUCUGAAGUCAAAGUCAUAUUUGUGUUUAAUAUAGAGUAUCCUAUAUGCGUCAACGGGUAUGGAAUGAAAGAAAUGUAUUCAGAUAUGAAGAGAUGGGAGAAACAAGAAGGUCUGUAGAGAAAGUACAGUGAAUAUUUGAAUUUUUAUGUUGGGUCAUAUAAAUUGAUUUUGCUAGUGGCAUACCUUAACAUUUACUACUUACUGAGACUGUUACUAUGCAGUUCACUUUAACCCAGCAGAACAAAUGAAA